ACAAUUGCACCAGCCGCCACCUUGUUGAGGGGAGGGGGGAACAUAAGCAAAACAAAACAAUCCCUCAAUCUUCAUCAAUUCAUCUCUCAAUCUUCAUCUCCAUCUUCAUCUCAAUCUUCAUCUCACUCAUCCUCAGCGGCCACCUCAAUCCUCAUCUCCCUCAUCCCUAGCGACUGCCACCUCAACCUUUGUCUUCUUCAUCCCCAACGGCCAAGUUCAUCAAUACAUCAUCAAUUAAAUCAUCUCAAUUCAUCAUCCAUUAUUAUCAAGAACAAUGAACAAAUACCUAGCUCCACCAUCGUCAAAUUCGGUCUCAUCUCCCUCCAAAGAGCAAGCUUUGCUGCUAGUUGCUAACCCCUUCUCACCGGCAAUCAUAUUUUUCAUUGGCCCAUCACCGCCUUAGCUGCGACCUGAAAUUUUCUUUUGUUUCUUCUGUAUUUCUCUUUUAAUUUUUUGCUUUUGCUUAAUUUCGGUAAUUAUUAAUUUUUUUCUUGUUGUUAAUAGGGAGAUGAGUAUAUUUACAUCAUAGAAUUUAUAGAGAUUUAAUGGUCUAAUCUGAAAGGUUGGAUAGCAACACCAUAAUAUAGAGAUACCUCAAGAAGAUUCAAACAAACUAUACAUGAUGAAGGAGACCAUUUUCAAGCCAUCCAUUGCAACAGAGUCGUUUCAUGAGUAGGGAUGGCAAAUUUUUCCGGACCCGGCCCGGAUCUGGACAAACUCGGAUCAUCUGGUACGGGUUCAACCCGCACCGGAUGCAUUAAUAAUGCGGAUUCGGGUUGUAAUUUUUCAAACCCGGAAUAUAUCCGAGUCAGGUCCGGGUUUAGGUGAACCCGAAUCUCCAGAAUGCGGACCCGAACUACUAUUUAUUUAUUUAUUAAUUUUUAUUGCAAACUAAAAAUAUAUAAGCAUUAAACAAUAAGUUGGGCGGGAAAAAAAAAUUAAAAGCAAACAAGACAAACCCGCAAAACCCUAAAGCAAAACAAAACAAUUGCACCAGCCGCCACCUUGUUGAGGGGAGGGGGGAACAUAAGCAAAACAAAACAAUCCCUCAAUCUUCAUCAAUUCAUCUCUCAAUCUUCAUCUCCAUCUUCAUCUCAAUCUUCAUCUCACUCAUCCUCAGCGGCCACCUCAAUCCUCAUCUCCCUCAUCCCUAGCGACUGCCACCUCAACCUUUGUCUUCUUCAUCCCCAACGGCCAAGUUCAUCAAUACAUCAUCAAUUAAAUCAUCUCAAUUCAUCAUCCAUUAUUAUCAAGAACAAUGAACAAAUACCUAGCUCCACCAUCGUCAAAUUCGGUCUCAUCUCCCUCCAAAGAGCAAGCUUUGCUGCUAGUUGCUAACCCCUUCUCACCGGUAAUCAUAUUUUUCACUGGCUCAUCACCGCCUUAGCUGCGACUUGGAAUUUUCUUUUGUUUCUCUGUAUUUCUCUUUUAAUUUUUUGCUUUUGCUUAAUUUCGGUAAUUAUUAAUUUUUUUCUUGUUGUUAAUAGCCAAACGUAGCAUCUUAGCACAUAAUAUCCAUAUAAUUGUAAAUUUUAUUAUUGAAGUAAGCAAAUUUGGUUGUGAUCCCAUGAA
rnacentral:lncRNA from 1 species